AUGGAUGGCAACGGUUCCAUCUUUCCAAUCAGAAUUUACAGAACGUGGACAUAUCUGAAUGAUUCCAUGGCCUCUGACCGAUUCAGAUUUAAAAACAUCCCUGAAUGAGAGCUGAAUGAGAAGUUGACCUAAAUACCCACGCACGUCACACGUUCCUCUCAUCUGCUCCUCUUCUCCUCUUCUGGGCGAUCACGCAAACCACCACCAUCCAAGCACAUCAAGACUUCGACGAUUCCAAGCAAAUCUUCGCUCACAACCAGUAAUAGGUGAAUAGUAUGGAACUCAUAGAUGAAGUUCAUUGUUAAGUUAAAAACCAUCAAUACCAAACUUUGAGGUUUGAACACCCCUAAUUAUGGUGCAUAACUUGCCUUUUGAAUGAUGUCUGCACCUAACCGUUCAUCUGCGUCCUCGAUCGUUUCU
rnacentral:lncRNA from 1 species